rnacentral:rRNA from 1 species
UGGGGAAUAUUGCACAAUGGGCGCAAGCCUGAUGCAGCGACGCCGCGUGGGGGAUGACGGCCUUCGGGUUGUAAACCUCUUUCAGCAGGGACGAAGCGAAAGUGACGGUACCUGCAGAAGAAGCACCGGCCAACUACGUGCCAGCAGCCGCGGUAAUACGUAGGGUGCGAGCGUUGUCCGGAAUUACUGGGCGUAAAGAGCUCGUAGGUGGUUUGUCGCGUUGUUCGUGAAAACCGGGGGCUUAACCCUCGGCGUGCGGGCGAUACGGGCAGACUAGAGUACUGCAGGGGAGACUGGAAUUCCUGGUGUAGCGGUGGAAUGCGCAGAUAUCAGGAGGAACACCGGUGGCGAAGGCGGGUCUCUGGGCAGUAACUGACGCUGAGGAGCGAAAGCGUGGGGAGCGAACAGGAUUAGAUACCCUGGUAGUCCACGCCGUAAACGGUGGGUACUAGGUGUGGGUUUCCUUCCUUGGGAUCCGUGCCGUAGCUAACGCAUUAAGUACCCCGCCUGGGGGAGUACGGCCGCAAGGCUAAAACUCAAAUGAAUUGACGGGGUCAUAGCUGUUU